rnacentral:rRNA from 1 species
UACGUAGGGUGCGAGCGUUGUCCGGAAUCAUUGGGCGUAAAGCGCGUGUAGGCGGUUCGGUAAGUCCGCUGUGAAAGUCGGGGGCUCAACCCUCGAAAGCCGGUGGAUACUGUCGGACUAGAGUGCGGAAGAGGCGAGUGGAAUUCCUGGUGUAGCGGUGAAAUGCGCAGAUAUCAGGAGGAACACCAAUUGCGAAGGCAGCUCGCUGGGACGUUACUGACGCUGAGGCGCGAAAGCUAGGGGAGCGAACAGG